AUUGAACGCUGGCGGCAGGCCUCACACAUGCAAGUCGAACGAGUGGCGGACGGGUGAGUACUGUCUGGACAACUGCCCGAUGGAGGGGGAUAACUACUGGAAACGGUAGCUAAUACCGCAUACCCUCGGAUGUGCCCAGAUGGGCUUAGCUAGUAGGUGGGGUAAUGGCUAACCUAGGCGACGAUCCCUAGCUGGUCUGAGAGGAUGACCAGCCACACUGGAACUGAGACACGGUCCAGACUCCUACGGGAGGCAGCAGUGGGGAAUAUUGCACAAUGGGCGCAAGCCUGAUGCAGCCAUGCCGCGUGUAUGAAGAAGGCCUUCGGGUUGUAAAGUACUUUCAGCGGGGAGGCGUUACCCGCAGAAGAAGCACCGGCUAACUCCGUGCCAGCAGCCGCGGUAAUUC
rnacentral:rRNA from 1 species